rnacentral:rRNA from 1 species
UACAGGGGGUGCAAGCGUUGUUCGGAAUUACUGGGCGUAAAGGGCGCGUAGGCGGUUUAGUAAGUCAGAUGUGAAAGCCCGGGGCUCAACUCCGGAAUUGCAUUUGAAACUGCUAGGCUAGAGUGCAGUAGAGGAUGGCGGAAUACCUAGUGGAGAGGUGAAAUUCGUAGAUAUUAGGUGGAACACCGGUGGCGAAGGCGGCCAUCUGGGCUGUAACUGACGCUGAGGCGCGAGAGCGUGGGGAGCAAACAGG